rnacentral:rRNA from 1 species
GGAUGAACGCUAGCGGCAGGCUUAAUACAUGCAAGUCGAGGGGCAGCAUGACUGUAGCAAUACAGUUGAUGGCGACCGGCAAACGGGUGCGGAACACGUACAGAACCUUCCUUCGAGCGGGGAAUAGCCCAGAGAAAUUUGGAUUAAUACCCCAUAGUACUACGAGGUGGCAUCACCUUGUACUUAAAGAUUUAUCACUUGAAGAUGGCUGUGCGGCUGAUUAGGUAGUUGGCGGGGUAACGGCCCACCAAGCCUACGAUCAGUAACUGGUGUGAGAGCACGACCAGUCACACGGGCACUGAGACACGGGCCCGACUCCUACGGGAGGCAGCAGUAAGGAAUAUUGGUCAAUGGACGAAAGUCUGAACCAGCCAUGCCGCGUGGAGGAUGAAGGUCCUCUGGAUUGUAAACUUCUUUUAUAUGGGACGAAAAAAGGGUUUUCUAACUCGUCUGACGGUACCAUAUGAAUAAGCACCGGCUAACUCCGUGCCAGCAGCCGCGGUAAUACGGAGGGUGCAAGCGUUAUCCGGAUUCACUGGGUUUAAAGGGAGCGUAGGUGGGUUGGUAAGUCAGUGGUGAAAUCUUCGAGCUUAACUCGGAAACUGCCAUUGAUACUAUCAGUCUUGAAUACCGUGGAGGUCAGCGGAAUAUGUCAUGUAGCGGUGAAAUGCUUAGAUAUGACAUAGAACACCAAUUGCGAAGGCAGCUGGCUACACGAAUAUUGACACUGAGCUCGAAAGCGUGGGGAUCAAACAGGAUUAGAUACCCUGGUAGUCCACGCCCUAAACUAUGGAUACUCGACAUACGCGGUACACUGUGUGUGUCUGAGCGAAAGCAUUAAGUAUCCCACCUGGGAAGUACGACCGCAAGGUUGGAACUCAAGAUUGGCGGGGGUCGCACAGCGGUGGAGCAUGUGUUUAUCGAUGAUACGCGAGACUUACUGGGCUAGAUGCAGAUCGACGUGGGUGAAGCUCAUUU